rnacentral:rRNA from 1 species
UACGUAGGGACCGAGCGUUGUCCGGAAUCAUUGGGCGUAAAGAGCGUGUAGGCGGCCACUUAAGUCCUGCGUGAAAUCUUGCGGCUCAACCGCAAGCGGUCGUGGGAAACUGGGUGGCUAGAGUGCGGGAGAGGAGAGUGGAAUUCCUGGUGUAGCGGUGGAAUGCGCAGAUAUCAGGAAGAACACCCGUGGCGAAGGCGGCUCUCUGGAACGCAACUGACGCUGAGACGCGAAAGCGUGGGGAGCAAAAGGG